UUCACUCACCGCUAGAUGACUAACAAUCAUAAAUUCAAUCUGUCAUAUUUAUCAUUCAUUUUUUUUUUUCGUUUGUAAAGUGAAAGUUCGGCACCAAUAACUGUUUUUUUUUUAAUGAUUACCACUUCCUUCGGGAAAUCGACCUCCAGAUGAAGUAAUGUUCCUCAAGGAUAACUGUUAGGAUCUCCACAGAAAAGGUUUAUACAUUAUUAUUAUAAAUAAGUAGCCUACGUACUGGACAUAUGCUGGAUUAUUUAAAUGCUACGAGUAUGAGGGAUUUUGAUGAAAAGCCACGUGCUGACUGGCACGGCGUAGUCACUAUACGCUACAUUGCGAUGAGAAAAAUCCACGGGGCAGAGGCUUUCGCACAUUAACAACAUCUAGAUGGUACGCCCAACAGGCGAGAGUAAAGAAAAGCGCUUUCCAUUCACAGCAUAUGGGUGUCGUCGUCAUCGCCUUCGUCACAUGGAGGGAGCAAACAUUUGUACACCGGAUUGCUUUUCCUCACGGUUUCAGUUGUUAUUCGAGUAUAGAAUUACGUUUUCUUACGAUUCGUUCGCUGUAGGUAUGUGUUUUAUUAUUAGCUUUGUAAGCGAGAAAUUUAUGAAAGAAAUUACAAGCGCUAUUAGUAGAGUAAAGUCUACGUCGAUAGUAUUUAGGGAUAAUAUAUGUAUAUGGAAGGACUGAUGUACAACAUAGAAAGGCAAGGAAAAGGGAAUACGUAACAGCUAGAUUUUAGGAUAUUAUAGUACCUUAACCGAUGACCUUUUCAAUGUGAUCAAGAGACAUAGGCAGGGUGAUAGCGUACUUUUCAAUGUACUUGGUGGAACUUCAGUAAGCAUUUCAUCCUGAACGGAACGUAGCUGCACCAAACAUACUCUCAAGGAUGAAAAUUGACCAUUUAAACACCCCUCACCCCAUUUCCAACUUUUUACGCACUUUUGAUGGAAAUGCAUUUAAAUCGUAGUGCAAUUAACAAAAUCUAAAUAAUCAGAGAUUAUUGACAUGUAAGUCUAAAAAAACGGUAAUCAAUAACACUUCAAUAGGCACAAAAAGGUAUUAAAUAAAACAUCCGAUA